rnacentral:rRNA from 1 species
AACGAACGCUGGCGGCGUGCCUAACACAUGCAAGUCGAGCGCGAAAAGGGCAACCUGAGUAGAGCGGCGCACGGGUGCGUAACACGUGGGUAAUCUGCCUCAAAGUCUGGGAUAACCUGCCGAAAGGUUGGCUAAUACCGGAUAAGCUCACGAGGUCUUCGGACUUUGUGGGAAAAGGUGGCCUCUGUUUACAUGCCAUCACUUUGAGAUGAGCCCGCGGCCCAUCAGCUAGUUGGCGGGGUAACGGCCCACCAAGGCUACGACGGGUAGCUGGUCUGAGAGGACGAUCAGCCACACUGGAACUGAGACACGGUCCAGACUCCUACGGGAGGCAGCAGUGGGGAAUUUUGCACAAUGGGCGAAAGCCUGAUGCAGCAACGCCGCGUGUGUGAUGAAGGUCUUCGGAUCGUAAAGCACUUUCGACCGGACGAACAACCUCU